rnacentral:rRNA from 1 species
AUGGCCGCCGCGCAGCGCUACCGCACACGGCUGUUUGUGGCGGCGCCGGACGACGGUGAAGGAGGCUACCUCCUCUUCAGCCUCGACCUCAACCGUCUCUUCUCCUCCCAGGAGAAGCCCCAGCCCCAGGCCGACGCCGACUGCCCGCCGCCGCCGCUGCCGCUGCUCAGCCUGCCCGACCCCGUCGCCUGCUUUAAGAGAAUCCACUCCAAUGAGUAUAUGGUGUUCUCGGACUCUCCGUGCGGCGACCUCAUUGCCGGCAUCGGCGCCAACGGGCGGACCCUGCUCUACGACGGCGCCGCCUUCACCCGCGGCCCCGACAUGAUCUCCCCUAAGCGUUUCGUGUUCUUCCUAGUCCCCGUGCGCCGCCGCAUGUUCUUCGCCAUCACCGCCUACCCCGAAUACGACUCGGGACCCCAGUUCGAGGCUCUCCAGCAGCAGCCGAGCCCUGGCGGCAGCAGCCGCUGGGCCUGGAGCGCCGUCCCGGACCCGCCGGGCCUCGCCUGCCGCCGGGCGGAAGUCAAGGCCUACUUUGUGUCGGGUGCGCGCGUCUGGGUAUCCGUGCGGUACCAGGGCACCUACUCCUAUCACACGGGGCGCCGCCGGUGGCGUGCGGAGGGCGCCUGGGAGCUGCCCAUCUACCGGAGGGGCGUGCUAGUUUCGGACUUCCUCGGCACCGGCCGGCGGCUGCUCUUCGGCUUCCGUGCUUUAGAUAAGUAUGACAAUGAGAAUCCCUUCUGCGCCGUCGACAUGGACGCCAGUCCGCCAGCGGUCGUCGCGACCUGGCCGGAAACAUAUCCUGCUAAGCAGCUGUGGCGUGCUGGAUAUGGAACAUGCGGGCAAAUGGCCCAGGUCGGGUACUAUGGAGGUGGUAGGUUUUGCCUCUGGGUAGCCAAUCACGACAACAGCAAGAAACAGCGACGCAGCAUUCUCAGUUUCAUGGCUGUCCAGCUCUCCCCGGAGCUGCUCCUGCUGGAGCGCCAACUCACCGACUACAUGCUACCCAUAAGCUCGCGCUAUUUUGGUGCUGAUGUAAUAAUGUAG